rnacentral:lncRNA from 1 species
AAAUCUGCCGAGGUCUUCUUUUUUUCUCCCUAUGGGAUUCAGGCUGGUUCACUAUGAAGCUAUUUCUGAAAAUUCUAUGAAUGUAAGCUUGGUCUGGCCUAUGGUACUACGAUCCUGUUGGAUUGCACAGGAUUAUUCAAACAGACAAUUAAGUUGUACAAGUGAGAUCAACUUUCAAUAUGGUAGUUGGUCUUCUUUCAAAAUUGAAAUCUCCAACUCUAUAUAUUCCGAGACUUACAAAUCAAAGCUAACUACUCUAAGGCCCGUUUGUUGUGGAUAAUCUCGCAUGAAAAAAAUAAAUCCAAUAUUAGAUUACCAUAUUUGGUACGAAAAAUAGAUAAGAGAGACGAUAAAUUAAAUGGCAAGCCCUAUUUUUCUAACAGGAAGAUAAAACAAAUACUAUAAGGAGAUGGUAUUUAUUUUCCCAGGCUGGAUCUCUAAAAUAUCAUUUUUUGAUAAAUUUGCCCUCACUUAUAUUAUAUUAAUUAAUAUUAAUAUAUUAUAUUAAUAUUAUAUUAAUAUAUUAUAUAUUAAUAUAUUGAUCAAUAAUAUUUACAAAUAAUAAUAUAUUCAAUAUAUUAAUAUAUGGAUUCAUGAAUAUAAAUUAUUAAUAAACAAUCAACA